AUGAGCACCUGGAGGCACCCAAAUGUGGUGGUGUUGCAGAAUAUCUACAAGGUGCACCCAGAUUAUCGUCUUAUAAUAUCCACCAGCUCUUUUGAUGGUACCUUAAAUGGAUGGCUCAAGCAUGGUGAAAAGAACAAGAUUGAAGAGAACAGGAUUUUAAAUAUGGAUGGAAAAUUCACCCCUGUUUUCAGCAGAAUCACACUAGAUCUACUUGAUAUCUUGGACAAGAUGAUUAGACGUAAGAUGUGUCCGAAAGACCUUACAGUUGACAACUUAUAUCUGAAGACUGUGAAUGGUCAACCUCAACUUAAAGUAUUCUUCGAUGAUGGGACCAGGGCGUACUGUGAUUUCAUUGAGAAACAUGGUCCUGACUGCAUUGGCAAAAAUUUGGCAAAAGUUGCCAAGUUUUAUCCCAUUGAGUGGAAUGAUGAAGACAAGAGCAAGUAUCUCAUUGACAUAUUCUUAUCAACUUGA
rnacentral:rRNA from 1 species